rnacentral:rRNA from 1 species
UAGAGUUUGAUCAUGGCUCAGAUUGAACGCUGGCGGCAGGCCUAACACAUGCAAGUCGAGCGGAAACGAGAAGUAGCUUGCUACUUCGGCGUCGAGCGGCGGACGGGUGAGUAAUGCCUGGGAAAUUGCCUUGAUGUGGGGGAUAACCAUUGGAAACGAUGGCUAAUACCGCAUAAUGCUUUUGUUUGUAAUGAACGGGAGCCAAAGAGGGGGACCUUCGGGCCUCUCGCGUCAAGAUAUGCCCAGGUGGGAUUAGCUAGUUGGUGAGGUAAUGGCUCACCAAGGCGACGAUCCCUAGCUGGUCUGAGAGGAUGAUCAGCCACACUGGAACUGAGACACGGUCCAGACUCCUACGGGAGGCAGCAGUGGGGAAUAUUGCACAAUGGGCGCAAGCCUGAUGCAGCCAUGCCGCGUGUAUGAAGAAGGCCUUCGGGUUGUAAAGUACUUUCAGCAGUGAGGAAGGUGGAUGUGUUAAUAGCACAUUCAUUUGACGUUAGCUGCAGAAGAAGCACCGGCUAACUCCGUGCCAGCAGCCGCGGUAAUACGGAGGGUGCGAGCGUUAAUCGGAAUUACUGGGCGUAAAGCGCAUGCAGGUGGUUUGUUAAGCAAGAUGUGAAAGCCCGGGGCUCAACCUCGGAACAGCAUUUUGAACUGGCAGACUAGAGUACUGUAGAGGGGGGUAGAAUUUA